rnacentral:rRNA from 1 species
GGCGGCAGGCUUAACACAUGCAAGUCGAGCGGGGAAAUGUAGCUUGCUACAUUACCUAGCGGCGGACGGGUGAGUAAUGCUUAGGAAUCUGCCUAUUAGUGGGGGGACAACAUCUCGAAAGGGAUGCUAAUACCGCAUACGCCCUACGGGGGAAAGCAGGGGAUCUUCGGACCUUGCGCUAAUAGAUGAGCCUAAGUCGGAUUAGCUAGUUGGUGGGGUAAAGGCCUACCAAGGCGACGAUCUGUAGCGGGUCUGAGAGGAUGAUCCGCCACACUGGGACUGAGACACGGCCCAGACUCCUACGGGAGGCAGCAGUGGGGAAUAUUGGACAAUGGGGGGAACCCUGAUCCAGCCAUGCCGCGUGUGUGAAGAAAGGCCUUUUGGUUGUAAAGCACUUUAAGCGAGGAGGAGGCUACCGAGAUUAAUACUCUUGGAUAGUGGACGUUACUCGCAGAAUAAGCACCGGCUAACUCUGUGCCAGCAGCGGC